rnacentral:lncRNA from 1 species
AUUAAUUGUUUUGCCACUGUUUUAUUUAUGUUAGGACAUUCAAACAUUUUUAAGGAUGUUGGUUUCUCCACCAUUAUUAUCUAGGUAUUAUUUGUCACACCUGGAAUAUUUUAGUUUUGACCUUUGAAAACUUUAAUUGUUUGACUUGUUUUUGAAUUUUGAAUUUUGAAUCAGUUUUGAACUAACGCGAGAUUAGCAACAGUAAUCGACGUGACGUGGCAUCAUUAGCAGAGGUUACUGUAGCUUGAUUAUCCGGGCGUCACAAUUCUCCUCCACUACAAGAAAUCUCGUCCCGAGAUUUAAGCGGUGGAGUAAGGGAGGAAAAUGUUGGUAGCGAAAACCUAACGAGUCUUCUCGGUCUUGGCUGCCCUUUCGAAGAGGUUGAUCCCUUUUGUUGAUGUCUUUAAUUCUCUGCUUCAGGUCAUCAUGAUGAAGUCGUGAUCAUUUCUUCGGAAUUUUCAUUGUACAUAUGACGGACAAGGGGUAACUUCGGAAAAACGGACCUCCGAAAGGUUAACUAUCUGGUUGAUAAAAUCGGGGGAAGGUGGAAAGUAACUCUCGAAUUGAAACUUAAGAAAAUAUCGAGAGCAAAGUAUGAAGGUAGCAUGAGAAGUUUCGAGCGGGCAUGCAAUCGUUCGUUGCCUGAAACGAAGAGUGAAAAGGGUUCAGAGCAACGAGAAUAACAUGGUGUUUGAUUCCAGGAUGAAUAAUGAUAUAGAUUUUAGCUCUUGAAUCACAUACGAAGCUAGGUGCACAGGAUACAUUAGAAUCCGGGUUGUAAAGAAGAGUCAGGUUUCGAUCCUGUGGAACUGUGGGUUAUGGGCCCACCAUGUGGGUUAAAAGUAGGAAGGACGGUGACAUCUUGCACGAUCAUGAUAGCAAGGCAUGUCAGAGGGUAGCCUGUCAGUUAUAUGUCAGCCACAUCGUCGGUACCAAGGGCGAGGGAAGAAGAGAACCAUUUUCCUGCUCGUUGAAACGAGGCGGACCAUUAGGCAAAGUUCUCGUCCAUCGAUGGUUACCGAAAUGUCACCAACAAUAGUAACAGGGUCUUACUGACAGAGUUGUACACCGAGGUGCUUACAUAAGCAGGAGAAUAUUACUGCUUAGAUCAUAUAGAUCAACAGAAAGGUUAAACCAAACAAUGGAAAGGAAAUUAUGAUUAUCAGAUUAAACAGAAGAAUGGAAAGGAAAAUGUGUUUAAACACAUAUUUCAAGGGUAUAUCCUUCUCAAGGACAAGCUGAGCAUGAUAUUCAUGACAGGAUAUAAUGUAGAAAACUCUUUAGGUAGGGGAGAGAAAUUUCAUGACAUUACCCAUACAACGGUGUUUGGAUAAUUGAGCAGGAAAUAUUUAGCAUUGGGCUUCAAAUGUUCCUGUUGAAAAUCGGAGUACCAUAGACAUGCUUCGAGAUAGCAAUGACAUGGUCAACAGGUGAAGAUCAGACUUUGGAAACAAAAGGGAUCCAUCAGGAACAACUUAUAGAGUAAGUCUUACAAUUUCAUCAUGGAAGAAUAGCUAACCUUGCUAAAAAGGAAAACUUAUAACAAUAGGUCCUCCCGCCAGGUGUGCUGGGUAUCACCACCUUACUGGGUCAUAAUAGACUAGUGUUAUAACUCUUGGAAAAAUGUUCCAACCAUCAUAUAUGACCGAGAUUCAGAUAUGAGCGGUGUUUGGAUACCUCAGACUCAGGAUGCCUGAGAAGAAAGGUGCAACAGAAAUUGUCGAAACGACAUCGAAGAUUCUCGGGAGAUGAACUAUGGAAGCGAGUUCCGAACAAAGGUUCAUCAUUAAAUCAAGGAGAGGUGAGGAGGUGACUGAUUGACUCAGCGACAAUCCAUUGAGAUUUCCAAAAGGUGGAUUUCCAUCGCUAGGUGAACAAGGAGAUAACAUUAACUAGAUCGAAUGACUUAAUGAUGUAUGCUCGAGGAAAACAUACACAGUUAAACAUUGGUUGAAAUGUGCACCCGAAAUAUGGGCUAGGUAGCACAAUCAAUGUUCGAAUGAUGAUUCAUUAAGCCAUAGACGUAGAAUGAAGCUAUAGACCAAUAACUUCAAAGCAAUAGGGUUGCUAGAAGUUUAGAAUUUACACAUCACAGACCAUUGGUCGGUAUUCCUUUUAGAAACAACACGGGGACCAAGAAAGAAUGGUGAUGGGGAGAAGUAUCACUGUACCGAGAUGUCAUACGAGGUGGUGAAAUUCUUACGACAUACUUGAUGUAUAAUUUGGUAAUACUCCAGGGUAGAACAUAUCAUAAGCUAGAUAGCAGGGAAAUCAAGGUACAACACAAAACACGCACAAGUUUGUGUUGAAUGGAAGGCAAUAAAAUGGUCGAUGAUAAAACAAAUCAUCGAGGGCAAGGAUGGUAUUUCUCAUCCAGAAUUCGAUAGAUAUCUUGGAAGAGCUCAGAAUGUUGAUGGUGAUCACGACAUUUUGUUGUCGAGGGGAUCCACGAAGAAGCAAUUGAUCAGCGACUGCAUCAAGCAAAAGGACUGAUGCAACAAAAGAGUAUUGGAGCCACGGAUACUACACAAACUCGGGGCAAGUUUGUUGUUCGAGGUGAAACGAUAUGACGAGGAAAAUCGACGUAAGCUUAGCUCAUCGUCGAAAGUGGUGCUCCGGGAAUAAGGACCAGGUAGCACAGUUAAAAUCAUCAAGAUAAUGAUAUAGCCAAACAGGCUAGGAAUGACGCGAUCGGGUACAAACGCGUAGGUAAGGAACAUUACUAAAAGUUGUUGAACCGUAGUGCGGAUUCGAUUCAAUUAUCGAUGUCCUUGAGUGUUUAAUAACUCGGAGCCCGUGAAAAAUUGGAAUCAAUGAGAAUGUAAUACUUGAUGGAGAACUCAUAAUAAGUUAUGCAGUUCCGUGAUAAUCUCGAGAUACCAGGGGGGUAAUACUCGAUGACAAACCAAAGUAGAGGUUGGACUGGGGUAUUGCUCUGCAGAAGACAAGUGCUUAAACUUGCACGAGAAAUGGUAUUUAAAAGAGAACAUGGUUGGAACCACGAUUGCAAAAUGUCAGAUCCCAUAUAUAAGACGAACUUAUACCAAGGGAAUAAUUAAUUUAAGAAAAGCUUUAAUGAUAAGAUCUACACCGUGUCCAUGGGCAUGAACGCAAAGUUCAAGGUCGACUCCCACUUCUCCAAUGCAUAACCUUUCAUUCACUUCUCAUUUUUCAAAGAAGUUGUAGUGUUGAAAUUUUAUCUGGCAAAAUACCAGAAGAGUAUGACUCAUGAAAAUUUUCGAGUUCACAAAUAUUAUGAAAGGCAUAGGUUCAACCCAUCAAGGCAUCUUAGGAACAUAUACCACAAACUUCGGAGUAAAUAUUACAAGCUCGAAAGAAGAGCAUUGUUCAAAAACAGAUGAUACAAUUUACCAAAUGCAUUAUAUACCCAUGGAAAGGCUCACAAGGUUAUUCAAUAUGAAGGACACUGUCGGAUAAAAUCCAACAAAGGAACCGAUGGUCCACAAGGGAUCUGAUGUGAGCAUCGGUACUCAACCAGAGGAAUAAGAAUACAAGGAGAUCUGAUUAUAGAAACAACUGACUAACUCAAAGUUCAAAUGCAAAGGAAUUAUGAUUUCCAAAUCAAGGGAUCAGAAGCAAACGCUCUGAUUAAGGAUGGAUAAGUUGAAUAGCCUUAGGGGUACAAUCGAUGGCAAUUCGAUUGGUCGAUACCAGCUCAUGUUAAAAAUGAUGUCUGAGCCGGAAGGAUGAAUUCUAGGAUCUGAUUGAGGAUUGCGAGCAUUCGCAACAUAUUGAAUCAAUGGACUCAAAAAGAUAAUGACAAAGGGUGCCAAUAAGAUUUCGAGACUUAUGGGAUUAAUCAUAAUGCUAGUAAGCAAGAAUUUCAAGAGCAAUAGGCUCCUGAGGAUUUUCGGAAGAUCGAAUGGUAUUCUGAACACUUUUGUGAUAUACUUGAAUUCAACUGGGGAUGAGCGGAUACUCGGUAAGUGCGAGAAUUAUCCGUAGGGGUAUUCAGGUGUCAAAGAACAGCAUAGCAGUAAGCUCAAAGGAUUCUUGGAACAACAGAGAGCAUUACGGGGUAUCUUGUAGUAACAAGAUCAACUGGGAAACAUUGUAUGAAUUGCGAGUAUACGUGGUUAUCCAUAGGAGUUCAUCGAUGAAAGGGAAUUCUAAAAGCGAUGAACACAAGUUCUCGGGUUAUCAGCGGAGAGUAUCUUCAGGGUCUUCACGUGCAGCAGACGAUCAUCAGUAAUAAGGGGCUCUUCGGGUGAAAGUGAUAACGAGAUCCUAAUGUUAGAUUUAGCAAAACUCACUUAACCUGAAUAGAAGAGAGAUCAGAGUCCCAGAGCAUAGACAAGGAGUAAAAGAUACUAAUACCACCCAAUGGUGACGUGGGCCCGUAAGCCACACAGUCAUGUUAUUAAAAGUUUUUCAAUGACUAGACUCGACUUCGGCCAAGGAGUUGGAAAGGGGGAUUCCUACAGGCAGUCGGCUCUGAUACCAACUUGUGACGCCCCCGAUUUGACCGUACACUAAUCAUGCACGCAAAUGUGUACGAUCAAGAUCAGGGACUCACGGGAAGAUAUCACAACACAACUCUACAACAUAAAUAAGUCAUACAAGCAUCAUAAUACAAGCCAGGGGCCUCGAGGGCUCGAAUACAAGUGCUCGAUCACAGACGAGUCAGCGGAAGCAACAAUAUCUGAGAACAGACAUAAGUUAAACAAGUUUGCCUUAAGAAGGCUAGCACAAAAGUAGCAACGAUCGAAAAGGCAAGGCCUCCUGCCUGGGACCUCCUAACUACUCCUCGAAGCCGAACUCCAUGUAGAAUCAUCCUCGGGAUCUCUAGCUCCUGGACUCCAGCAUCUGGUUGCGACAAUCCGGUAUAGAAAAAGGGAAAAGAGGGAGAAAAGCAACCGUGAGUACUCAUCCAAAGUACUCGCAAGCAAGGAGCUACACUACAUAUGCAUGGGUAUAUGUGUAAAGGGCCAUAUCAGUGGACUGAACUGCAGAAUGCCAGAAUAAAAGGGGGAUAGCUAGUCCUGUCGAAGACUACGCUUCUAGACAUCUCCAUCUUGCAGCAUGUAGAAGAGAGUAGAUUGAAGUCCUCCAAGUAGCAUCGCAUAGCAUAAUCCUACCCGGCGAUCCCCUCCUCGUCGCCCUGUUAGAGAGCGAUCACCGGGUUGUAUCUGGCACUUGGAAGGGUGUAUUUUAUUCAGUAUCCGGUUCUAGUUGUCAUAAGGUCAAGGUACAACUCCGGGUCGUCCUUUUACCGAGGGACACGGCUAUUCGAAUAGAUAAACUUCCCUGCAGGGGUGCACCACAUAACCCAACACGCUCGAUCCCAUUUGGCCGGACACACUUUCCUGGGUCAUGCCCGGCCUCGUAAGAUCAACGCGUCGCAGCCCCACCUAAGCACAACAGAGCGGUCAGCACGCCGGUCUAAUCCUAAGCGCGCAGGGGUCUGGGCCCAUCGCCCUAUGCACACCUGCACGUUGCGAACGCGGCCGCGAGCAGACCUAGCAACCCACACGAUCACGGCGGUUACGUCAAAGCGGUCCAACACGGCGCGCGCCACUCAGUCGCUGACGUCACGAGGGCUUCGGCUGAUACCACGACGUCGGGAUACCCAUAACUACUCCCACGUAGAUGGUUAGUGCGUAUAGACCAAAUGGCCAGACUCAGAUCAAAUACCAAGAUCUCGUUAAGCGUGUUAAGUAUCCGCGAACGCCGACCAGGGCCAGGCCCACCUCUUACCUAGGCGGUCUCAACCUGCCCUGUCGCUCCGCCACAAAGAUCCACUUGCGGGUACUCCUACGAGCCGACCCGACUUUAGUCAUCACAUGUGUCAUGUAUAUAGUAUAUAAGUAUAUACCCGUGAUCACCGCCCAGGUGAUCACGGCCCGAUAGUAUAGCACAGCAGACGGACAAGAAUGUAGGGCCACUGAUGGAAAUCUAGCAUCCUAUACUAAGCAUGUAGGAUUGCAGGUAAAGGUAUCAACAGUAGUAGCAAGGAUAGGCUAUGCAUCAGGAUAGGAUAUCGAAAAGCAGUAACAUGCUACACUACUCUAAUGCAAGCAGUAUAGAGAAGAAUAGGCGAUAUCUGGUGAUCAAGGGGGGGGCUUGCCUGGUUGCUCUGGCAAGUAGGAGGGGUCGUCAACUCCGUAGUCGAACUGGGCAGCAGCAGUGUCGGUCUCGUAGUCUACCGGAGAGAAGAGGGGGGAAGAAACAGUAAAUACAAUGCAAACAUAAGCAUGACGAUGCGUGACAUGUCAAUGAACAGUGCGAGGUGUGUCCUAACGCGACAGUAGGUGGUACCGGCGAAGGGGGGGAACAUCCGGGAAAGUAUUCCCGAUGUUUCGCGUUUUCGGACAAACGGACCGGAGGGGGAAAGUUGCUAGUUCGAUAGGUUAGGGAGGUGUGGUGGACGAACGGACUGCGUAUUCGGAUUCGUCUCGUCGUUCUGAGCAACUUUCAUGUUGAAAAUAUUUUAAUCCGAGUUACGGAUUAAAAGAUAUGAUUUUCUAAAGAUUUUAUUAAUUUCUGGAAUUUAAUUAAUUAUUUAAUUUAAUUCGAAAUUUGGAUUUAUGACAUCAGCAUGAUGUCAUGCUGACAUCAGCAGUCAACAGGGGUUGACUAAGUCAACUGACAUGUGGGUCCACUGGGACCCACCUGUCAUUCACUGUUUAGGUUAAUUAGUGUUUAAUUAAAUAAUUAUUAUUUAAUUAAAUUAAACAGGAUUAAUUAACUUAAUUAAUUUAGUUAGUUAAUUAAUUAAUUAAUUAAAAUUAUUUUUAUUUUUAUUUUAUUUAUUUAUUUUUAUUAAUUAAUUUAUUCUUAUUAUUAUUAUUAUUAUUAAUUUAUUUUAUUUAUUAUUUUAUUUUUAUUUAUUUUAGUUUUAUAAAUUAGGAAAAUAGUUUCUAAAUUAGUGUUAUGGUUUAACCCACUGCCACAAAAAGUCUCACUCCUAACUAAAAUAGUUUGAUAUUUUAUAAAUGAUAAAAGGCAUUUAAUUAAUUGUUUUGCCACUGUUUUAUUUAUGUUAGGACAUUNNNNNNNNNNNNNNNNNNNNNNNNNNNNNNNNNNNNNNNNNNNNNNNNNNNNNNNNNNNNNNNNNNNNNNNNNNNNNNNNNNNNNNNNNNNNNNNNNNNNNNNNNNNNNNNNNNNNNNNNNNNNNNNNNNNNNNNNNNNNNNNNNNNNNNNNNNNNNNNNNNNNNNNNNNNNNNNNNNNNNNNNNNNNNNNNNNNNNNNNNNNNNNNNNNNNNNNNNGGACAUUCAAACAUUUUUAAGGAUGUUGGUUUCUCCACCAUUAUUAUCUAGGUAUUAUUUGUCACACCUGGAAUAUUUUAGUUUUGACCUUUGAAAACUUUAAUUGUUUGACUUGUUUUUGAAUUUUGAAUUUUGAAUCGGUUUUGAACUAACGCGAGAUUAGCAACAGUAAUCGACGUGACGUGGCAUCAUUAGCAGAGGUUACUGUAGCUUGAUUAUCCGGGCG